rnacentral:tRNA from 1 species
GGGCCUGUAGCUCAGUUGGGAGAGCGCUGCCUUUGCAAGGCAGAUGUCGUCGGUUCGAGCCCGUCCAGGUCCAUCU